UACGGGGGGGGCAAGCGUUGUUCGGAAUUACUGGGCGUAAAGGGCUCGUAGGCGGCCAACUAAGUCAUACGUGAAAUCCCUCGGCUUAACCGGGGAACUGCGUCUGAUACUGGAUGGCUUGAGUUCGGGAGAGGGAUGCGGAAUUCCAGGUGUAGCGGUGAAAUGAGUAGAUAUCUGGAGGAACACCGGUGGCGAAGGCGGCAUCCUGGACCGAUACUGACGCUGAGGAGCGAAAGCCAGGGGAGCAAACGGG
rnacentral:rRNA from 1 species